rnacentral:rRNA from 1 species
AUGGCGAAGGACAUUGAGGCGGCACCCCAGGGCGGCGAGUUCUCCACCAAGGACUACUCGGACCCGCCGCCGGCGCCGAUCGUGGACUUCGAGGAGCUGACCAAGUGGUCGCUCUACCGCGCGGUGAUCGCCGAGUUCGUCGCCACGCUCCUCUUCCUCUACAUCACCGUGGCCACCGUCAUCGGGUACAAGCACCAGUCCGACCCCACCGUCAACACCACCGACGCGGCCUGCAGCGGCGUCGGCAUCCUCGGGAUCGCCUGGGCCUUCGGCGGCAUGAUCUUCGUCCUCGUCUACUGCACCGCCGGCGUCUCAGGUGGGCACAUCAACCCUGCGGUGACGUUCGGGCUGUUCCUGGCGAGGAAGGUGUCGCUCAUCCGGGCGCUGCUCUACAUCAUCGCGCAGUGCCUCGGCGCCAUCUGCGGCGUCGGGCUGGUCAAGGGCUUCCAGAGCUCCUACUACGUGCGGUACGGCGGCGGCGCCAACGAGCUCAGCGCAGGCUACUCCAAGGGCACCGGGCUCGCGGCCGAGAUCAUCGGCACCUUCGUGCUCGUCUACACCGUCUUCUCCGCCACCGACCCCAAGCGCAACGCCCGUGACUCCCACAUCCCGGUGCUGGCUCCUCUCCCAAUCGGAUUCGCCGUGUUCAUGGUCCACCUGGCCACCAUCCCCAUCACCGGCACCGGCAUCAACCCGGCGAGAAGCUUGGGAGCUGCUGUCAUCUACAACAAAGACAAGGCCUGGGAUGACCAAUGGAUCUUCUGGGUGGGGCCGCUGAUCGGCGCCGCCAUCGCCGCCGCCUACCACCAGUACGUGCUGAGGGCCAGCGCCGCCAAGCUCGGGUCCUACAGGAGCAACUAA